GAUGCAGCCAUGCCGCGUGUAUGAAGAAGGCCUUCGGGUUGUAAAGUACUUUCAGUCGUGAGGAAGGCGGCGUCGUUAAUAGCGGCGUCGUUUGACGUUAGCGACAGAAGAAGCACCGGCUAACUCCGUGCCAGCAGCCGCGGUAAUACGGAGGGUGCGAGCGUUAAUCGGAAUUACUGGGCGUAAAGCGCAUGCAGGUGGUUUGUUAAGUCAGAUGUGAAAGCCCGGGGCUCAACCUCGGAAUAGCAUUUGAAACUGGCAGACUAGAGUACUGUAGAGGGGGGUAGAAUUUCAGGUGUAGCGGUGAAAUGCGUAGAGAUCUGAAGGAAUACCGGUGGCGAAGGCGGCCCCCUGGACAGAUACUGACACUCAGAUGCGAAAGCGUGGGGAGCAAACAGGAUUAGAUACCCUGGUAGUCCACGCCGUAAACGAUGUCUACUUGGAGGUUGUGGCCUUGAGCCGUGGCUUUCGGAGCUAACGCGUUAAGUAGACCGCCUGGGGAGUACGGUCGCAAGAUUAAAACUCAAAUGAAUUGACGGGGGCCCGCACAAGCGGUGGAGCAUGUGGUUUAAUUCGAUGCAACGCGAAGAACCUUACCUACUCUUGACAUCCAGAGAACUUUCCAGAGAUGGAUUGGUGCCUUCGGGAACUCUGAGACAGGUGCUGCAUGGCUGUCGUCAGCUCGUGUUGUGAAAUGUUGGGUUAAGUCCCGCAACGAGCGCAACCCUUAUCCUUGUUUGCCAGCGAGUAAUGUCGGGAACU
rnacentral:rRNA from 1 species